CUUUGAGGCCAAAUCUUGCCCUUCUUACUUGGACAAAUCUCCCACUGAAGCCAAUUAGUUGUACUGGAGUUUAGCCUAGAUAAAAUUUUGGAUUGCAGACAUGCAACAUAAUUACAAGACAUUUGUUUUAAACCUAUUUGAAAUUAGAGUCUUACAGGGAGAGUAAGAGGCAGAUAAAUACCUUCAAACAUGAAAUGUUGAGGCAUGUUUUGAGUGAGUACAGAAGAAUACGAAAGCAAAUAAUGUCUGGAAAGCAAAGAUUAUGAAUGCAGUAAACAACCAAGAAACUACAUGGCAUCGCAUCUAAGGAGUAUGGGAAGUAGGAAGGUCAUGGAAGACCAUCCCAGGGAGUUAAUCUCUUGGCCAACCAAAUCAUUAGCAUAAACCACCAGGUACUGUAGAUAAAUACAGAAAUGGGAACAGUUUGUCACAGUUGGACAGGACGCGUGUUCUGUGUUAACAUCAGAUUUGCUGUUCCUGAAAUUACACGGGUGUAAUUUUCUGCUGUUUGCUGAUAGAAACUGAAAAACAAGAAGCUGAGAUAAUAGAAAACAGUUCACACUAAUCAACUAAAGAAAUUAAUGCCUUGAUGCUUCAAGAUUUUUAAUCUAUUCAAUGCCCUUAGCAUCCUUUGAAAAUAUUACUGCCUCAAUAGGCAAGUGCAAAACAAUGGGAGGUAAUGCGCAGCAACAGAAGAUGACAGGGACUCACACAUCGUUCUGAUCAUUUCACAAAGUGAGUCCUGGUUUAAUGCUUUACACGGCAUGUUUGAGUUUGCCAUGUCACUUUGACCAUGCCAAAAUAUUUAUGAUAGAAUUAUAGACUUGAAAAUGAAGUUCUAGCCCAUCAGAAAUAGCUGAAACAUCUCUCUUCCAUUUAAUUCCUCUGAAUUUUGUUUUGGGAUUCCUGUCAGUGCUUACUAUGGUGCCUCUCUGCUUGUUUACUAUACAGAUUUACCAAGCUGCUCUGGAUUUGAUUUACAGAUCUCCCUUAUUCCACAGAACUCAUUUUGUCAAUUGAUAUCAGUGUAGUUCUCUUUUUUGUCCUUAAUGUCCCUGGAUUUGUCCAGUCAGUUCUGCUGCACACUACGAAUAUGGGGAUUUCCUUGCUUUCCCUGCUUUGCAGCGUCCUCUCUGCUUUCCGUUCCCUCCUACCAUUCUUGUGAGUGCCCAGUUAGGAUUUCCCUUUUCUCUCAAGUUUUUCUGGGAAAGGCUUUCCAACUAUUUUUUAGGAAGAAUCUUGCUCCUGAGCAGGCCUGGCUAGCAGCUGGACAAUCCACCCCCUUAAGGGGUAACAGUGACUGCUGUUAAAUGAGCUUUCUGACCUGGCAGGUCAGAGAUUAAGAGCAAGUUUGCAGGAUAUACAGCAAGUCAAGCUUCCUUCCCACAGGGUGAGUUGGGCAAGUGUCUUAACUCUUAUAGGACAGAUAGAGGCAUUUGCUAAAUAGUGUUUUAGUUACAGGUAAAUUUGAUAACUCUUUUUUUUGGACUAUUCAUAAAUGGAGAGGAAGCAAACCUAAUGGCUACAUCAUCGUUUUUAUCAUUCAAGGUUUAUGCUUCAACUAAUGUACUUGACAGCGAUCUUGUGUGCAGUAGAAGCUACUCUACUCUCUCUACAUUGCCAGCAUUUUUAUAUUGUUACUCAUUUUCUUGCAGUUGUGCAUAAUAGGACUGAUUUUGAAUUUGUGUGUUUGAGAGAUACAGAGAUAAAUACAGACAUGACCAGCAUUAUUUUUUUUUCUCCAGGACUGCUUAUGUUCAUACGUAGUUUGAGGUGCUAUCACUAAGUUACACUGCAGUGGGACCACUGCCCAAAUGCCUGGAUGGAAGCACAUUUCAGAUAACUCAGGCAUGGAUCUUAACCUGAAAAAAGCAGGAAAGCUCUACUGGAAGCAGGGAGCUAUGAUGAUUAGUGUCAGCUGAAGAGCCAUUCCAUAUUUCUUGUUCUUGCCAUUUCUGUCUUCCUAGUUGGAAAGAUCAGAGGUUCUGACUUGCCAUCUCUUCCCAUGCCUCUCUUUGCAGACAAACAUAAGGGAAGGUGUUUCAACCCAAAUAAUGAACUGUGGCAGAAUACUUUGGAUUUAUUAUUAUUUAUCUGAAUUCAUUUUUUUUAAGCUUAUGAGUAAGAACAAAGUAGAUAGAAAACAAAUCGAGCAGAGAUCUGUGAGUUUUGGCUACAAGCAAGUUGCAAACUGUGAGGAAUAAUAAUAAUAAAAAAAAUAAUCUUGCUGAUUUAGAAAGAAAAACACCAUCUCCACAGGCACUUCCCCCAGCUGUGGGCUAGAAGAACAACAGAUAAUCAGCAGGCAGAAAUGAAGGUCCAUGCUGAGGAUAAGAACAUAGCCUGGCUGUAAAACAGCCAAAGAGAGGUGGUUUGAUGGCUGAUAGCUACCCGAGAGCUGGGGAGCCUUUCAAUGUGGGACAGCAAAUGAGCCAAGAAUGCAUCUCUGAGCUGAUUUCAUUGGUCCUGUUCAAAAUCACUGAAAAUGUCUGUUCUCAUUUUCCAGUAAGUUUUAUGGGCUCCCUCCUGCUCUAUCGCUGCUAUGUGAGCCAAGCUUUUGUUUCUUGCCUGUAGGGUUUGAGAUUUGGCUGCCCAAGGUGAGGACCUAGCAGUCAGAAGAUAAACACCUCUGACUUGACAGAGGCCAGAUGGGACAUCUGUAUUUCCACUGAGAGAGUGAUUUCUAUUUAUGAAAAUAACAAAACCUACCUGUUGCCCAUGCUUUAGAGGAAAGAGAAUAACCAGUGUGUAUCAGACAGCAAAGUGGCACGUGAGUGACGAGCACCUUAGCAAAGGAGUUGAUAUUUCCUUCUGAAGAAGGAGAAGAAAUGGCAGCAGAGGGUUUGGCCAACUCAUCACGUAAGCUUCUCUUACAGUAGGAAUGAAAAAUUCAUUUAAAGGCUGCUUUCUCCAGCUCUGUAGUGGAGAACAUCUUCUCACUCUGUCUCCAUAUUUCUGCAUGGUGCUACUUCUGGUUUACAGAAAUUACCAAACAUGGUCAGAGCAGCUGUCACCCAUUUCUGAGAGCAGCCAGCGCCAAAAACUUGAGAGGUGAUUACAAAGCCAGCAGCCCAGGGAAAUCAUUCUCCCACUUUGCUAUUAAGCAGAGGUAGGUUUGUAUUCUGAAACACAUUUUGAAGGAGAAAGCGUGUUACCAUGAAGUUAUAGCUCAGAUGUCCUUGUUGCUCACAUGUGCAACAACCAGCUGCUUUGUGCUGCAGGAUUUAGGCAUACCUUGGGUGAGGAACUUAGACCAUUUCUUUGGAUACCCAUUGCCCAUCUUGUGAUUGCCAUCCUGCUUGCAGCUUGCAGGUUUUUGCUUACAUGCAUGGCUGUUUAACCUGGCCAGCAGAGGUUUUUCCACACAUCUCUGCUCCAACCUUGUAGUAGAAGCAGUGUAAAGCCAAAGUAGCACGUCUGCUGAGGUGUAAGCCAUUUGGUAUAUCGCACGAGGGAAAGCUUUACAAAGUGCUGGGAUAUAACAGGACAGAGGGAAAUCAAUGGCCAAAAAGGAGGGCUCCUGAAGGAAAAAGAAUAGUCUCACUUUCCAUCCUGUCAUCCACAUGUUAAGAUCAUAAGCGACAGAAAGCAGGUAAAAGCCCUGACAUUAAUCCCCUGUCAAAGAAUAGGAUUCCCAGUCAAGGAAAUGGAGGGGAUCAAAGUAAUGUAAUCUUCACCACGGCUGACUACAGAGAACUUCCAGCAGGGCUCUGAGGGUUUAUUUAAUUGAAGCAUCCUCUGUAGGAUUACUUCAGGUCUCUAGCUUAGCAGAAGAUAAGGUUGAAGGCACAGGUCUAAGCUUCAACAUACGAUUCUGCAAAUACAAAAUCAUAACAAUCCAUAUAGGAUAACGUUGUUGAUAUUCCAAUGGUCUGAAGAUUUAUGAAAAUAUCUUCUAUUUACUCAGCUGGAAACAAUCCUGUUCUUCUGGAGUUUUGUUACCCCAUAAAGCAUUCAGAGGAGACCCCAUAAUCAUUUCAAAGUCAGAAAUAUUAAGUGGAAUAACAAGGAUAAACCCUAUUCGCAUUGACUUUGAAGCACAAGAAACAUGUCCCCGUGGCCAUAGAAAAUUAUUGUGCUUUGAGCUGGGGUGGGAAGAAGCAGCUCUCGCACAGUUGUUUCAGGUGGUAGAAAGUCCAUAUUUCUUCUAACACAAAGGAACCUGGUUUAAAAAUAAGUUAAAAUUGAGCACUGAAAUAGAUUACUAAAUUCCCACUGAAGUUCACUGAAGCCUUUCCCCAUGAAGCAGAUGAGAAAAGGAUCCAGACUUCUAGGGACUGGAUGAAAGGAUAAUGGCAGCAUGCUGCUGCCAUACAGCAACAGCUGCAUUCUCCAGCCACCAGGAGCAGGGCACAAUCUCAGUGUCUCCCCUUUUGUAGCCCAGGGUAAAACUGUCUCCAGGAAGUAAAACCUCCUGUCUGCAUGACACUCACCUGAACACAGCUCUGCCUUUGCCUCUGAAAGGCAUCCCUGGAAAAGCAGUGCCUUUCCUUUCAACCAGGAACUUCACUUUCAGCAAGCAAUCUGCCUCCUGUCCUACUGCAGUGUUCAAAAUCUCACAAAGGCUGAGUUGCUGAAGCUAAAGCCUGCAAUCUGAAGCCCAGUUUUCCAGGAAGAGGCAAAUGAUGAGCUGUGGUUAUCAUAAUCACCUUGGUGUGUGUGUGAGUGAGCGAGAGGGCUGCUGAGCCAGAGGAGAAAAGGGAGCAAAGAUAGAGAAAAUGAAGAAAAAUGGCUGGGGCAGCACAGCAGCAGUUAAAACAUAGAACUGACAUUACUAAUAAUCACAAAGCAAAGAAAUAACAAAGCUAGAGGAAAAAAAAUUCCUGGACUCUACAAUGAAGUCUCUGCAGCUAGAACAACUUAUUUUCCCUAAGCAGUAGGGCUUUCACUUUGAGCCCACUGAUGAGUUCUGAUGCAGAAACAAGGGCAGCAGGAUUUGGGAAACCUGGACAGACAGCUUUCCUGCUCUGACACUCCUUAGAAAGGUCCCAGUAAGUGAGUGAGUGUCUAUGGAGGGAUUUAUCAGAGGUUGGGCCUGGACAGCCACAAGUCAAGGCCAGCAGGCCCAUGGCUGUGGCAGUGACCCCUUGGUUCAUCUCCAGUCACUGGACUCUGGUUUCUUCAUUUUACACCUCUUGCUGCCUGCUGUGGGAAUGAGUGCCCCUCCAUACUGUUGCAUGAUAGAACCAUAGGUGCCAGUGUGAAAUGCACAACAAAUACCACUGUUGGUCUUCAGUCUGUGACAGACAGUACAGGGAGCAGGAGAAAAUACCUCAAGUAUAGGAUGUAAAUGUGUCUCAGGCCUUCCUCCUGGAUCCUGGCUCAUAGCUUCCUUCAAAAAGCCCAGAGCAGCACUGCUGGUCUCUGCAGGCUGCGCGUAGGGAUGAGAAAGCAACACCAAGUGCCACUUAGAAACCCGUGCUGGGUUACCUGGUUAUUGCUGCAAGGGCCCACGAGGUGGCAAUAGCAGGACACUGCUCCCUGCUCAGACACAGCUCCCACGUAGCAUUUUGGUCUGUCUUUUUGCCAUUGAAAGAACGAAGAUUUUAUUAACGAUCGGGGUGCAAAAAUGUUGCUCACAGCUGACAGUUUCUACUCGGUCAAUCUCACACUGUGAAAUAAGUGCCUGGUACAUCACUAGUAAGCAAGCACUACAAAAUUUACUGAAAGCAUUUGGAGCCAGCUGGGAGGACUGGCAUAUACGUGGUUGUCACCGGUAUGGCUUUGACGUGAUGUGCAUAGCAAUCGUGCUGUCUUCCCUGGCACAAGAGCUGUACCUGAGAGCAGGGAGGGACAAUUUUUAAUCAUCUCUGCUUUGCUGCUUGCACUUUUUUUGACUCGUUUAUUUAAACUACUAAUUUGUCAAGCCACAGAGCUUGCAGCUGCCUGUGAACGAAGCUCCAGUCUCACCUGGAUCUUUAAUGCCUGCAAGGCAAAUAAGGCUGAUAAAAUUCCCAGGUGAUGACGGUUACUCUGACAUCCCAUCUCAGGAGACAGGUGGUCCACCUCAAGUAUAUAAAGGAUCCUCCUUGCUAACAAUAAAAAUCAGACCAAGCCAAGGAUUUGGGAGUGCCUCGAAGCAGCUUUCUGUAAGAAAACCUACCCACCAACAACUUUUACAAGGGCAGAAGGACGAGCUGCUUGGCUGCUGUCUGUGUGCUGGAAAAGACAAGGUAUGUGACAAGCUGCUGUGUGAAUGGGGGCUGUAUCAUUCUGACAGAUAUGAUGUACAGAAGUAUGGACUGAACAUUCAGUUUUGUGGUCCGAGAGCAGUACCUUGAAACACUUCCAGAACCACCACAGUGCACUGUCAGGAAGCACUGCUGAAAAGUGCUGCCGGUAGGAAGCCGGUCCCAGACUUGUUUAAUGUAAAUAAGGAGUGUGUUGUCCCAGGUUGAAGUAGUCACUAAGUGGUGUCAAAUGCUGAACUGAAAUUGUGCUUUUUAUUAAAUACAGAGCAGAGAGAAAAGACAAGUCAGACCAAAAUCUAAGAGCUGUAGGAGUUAUCCCCCAAGCACUAUUAUCAGAGUACAUCUCAGGGUCUGUAUCUCCUCCUUUACCACUGUUGUAGAAGUCUUUCUCCACUGCUAGGAGGAAACUUUGGGUAAGGGCUCAAUAGCAGGUGUGAUAAAGAACCUAGUAGCUCCAUAGCUUGUGCUAAGCCCUGGCUGAAAUGACCCACUGAGCCAAGCAAACAGCCUGUGUGCAGCCACACUUGUCUCAACUGUCAGCAGGAAAAUGGGAUCUGCUGGUAUAAACAAUCGUCUUUAAUCCUUUUCAACACAACCCUUGUGGUUAGGCUGCGCUCAGCUAUAGCUGUGUAGAGAGCUGGGAGCUGAUUUGUUUUGAUGGGAAUUAAGCAUUUUCCUAAGAUCUCUCCAUGUGUUGCUGUGCUCAAACACUGUAGAUCAGAGAUGGCAGCCUCCCUGGUUCCCAUCUGACCCCAUCUCUUCCCCAGGCUUCUCUGUCAGAGCUGGGAGGUAGCUGGGUUUCACUUUGUCCCAGCAGAGACUGAAGUGUCAAGGUUGCCUGGUCAGUACGUGCUGCCUAUGGAGGUUUCCAGGGGCUGGUACACAGCUGCUUACAGUUUUUUUUCCAUCACAGUUCACAGAUGGUGCUAGGACUCCUAAUUGCCACCAGGUUGACCAAAACACAUCUCCUCUCAGUCCCUGUAGGAGUCUAGCUACUAUUGCCCCCAAGUGCUUCCAAGUUUUUUUUGCCCUUAUGAGUAAAUACUUGCAACCAAGCUGAAGUCAAUUGUCAGCUCUGCUGGCAGAAAGGAUUUAGCAUCAGAGAAGGAUCUUGGUUUUGUUCUUGAUUCACUGUAUGACUUUACAAGUGAUAACAAUUUUGGCCAGAAAUGAUAUGAGAUGAGGUAUUGGUAGUUGUUGAUUAAAAAGCAAGAUGUGUCUCAAUCUACAGAAGGGUCACUCUCUCACACUGGCUCUCUGACUAGUUCUUACCCAAGAGACUCUUGAGCAGACUUUGCUGGCAUGGGCAGUCAGGUUUCCUUGCUUGCUGUCCAUAAAAAGAGAGCUCUUACUGGCACUGGAAUGGUCACAGCACCUCAAGCCUGCCCUGCUCCUUUGUUUCAUUAGAAUAAAGAUGUUUCUGUUGCUUCAGGUCACGUCAGGAGCCCAAAACAUAGGACGUUUCCCAAGUAGAUGCUUAAAGUGACCCCUUGGAUAGACAAACAAAUACAUGACAGUAGUUGACCAAAAGCCACAGUUUGCAUCUCCAGGCUGUGCAGCAUGUACUAAAGGCUGUGAGAUGGCAUGCUGGAGGCUGUCUGGCCAGGACUGUCUACAGCUCCCUCCCUGCUGGCAGUGCUCCGCCUUCUGGGACAGUUCUGGGGAAUUUGCUGACAUGAUUGAGGGUGAUGGAGAGGGAGCACAGGAGCUGACUUGUCUGGAGUGGGGAACUGCAGCAGAGCCAAGUCUGGAGAGAACACGGGCAAAAUUGUAUUGCUGAUUUUGUUCUUAAAGCUUAGUUCCAGGCUGCUGGAGGUUUUAGGCUGUGAACUCUGCACUGCUUCUGAGAGCAGUGUUACAGGGAUGCUUGUGCACAGCUCUGCACCCAAAAUGAGAGUAAUUAAGAAAACUUGCACUAACGUGGGUUCAUUCUAGUAGGGAAAGGUAACACAAUGCUGUUACGUUGUUUGUCCCAUCACCACUCAUACAUGUGAAGGGCCUUGAGAGCAACUUGAAUAUGAGAUAGAAACAGAAGAUGACAGACAUCAAGAACAGUGAUAAUAUGAGCACAGGGGCUUGGGAUUGUUUCACUUCCAGAAGAGAGGAGAGGUGAUUUACUAACCUAAGCCGGGGGGAUGGUGGGGCUUGGCCUUGGAGCACAGUCCUUCCUCAGCUCUGUGCCACCAUCAAGUAGUGUUUGUGCUUGAACGAUGUUGUCUUGGCACACCCCACUGGCUCAUAUCCUGCUGUGUUCUUCCACAGCCCUGGUGAACUGCAAAAGGGGAGCAGGGGAAAGUGCCUCAGUGGCUGGAGGAGAGCAGGCUCCUGCCUGUGACCCACUUUGGUGCCCCCACCAGAGCACUUGUUGAUGGCCCCUGACUCCUGGUAAUCCCUGCUCAUGGGAAUAUUGAGUUUUCUGUUUGCUUUGUAAGUGUAAUUGGCCAAGACGCUGUGAAAGGAGGAGAGAGUGCUGUAAGGAGAGGUGUUAAAGAAAUAGGAAAACAUUUAAGAGUGCUUUAAGUCAAUUUCCCUGAUUAGUACUUUGAUGAUGGAAAGAAGCUACUUUAAAUCUGUGCAGUUGCUCUGGGCCACCACAUCCAGGUCCCUGUACACAUGCACGCAGAUGGCAGCAGCAAGCCCUUGGCAUUACCCCUAUUUCUCUUCCAAACCACACACUGUAGUCUUGAGUUACAAAUCUCCUCUGGCUUCUCGCUCUUGCUGCAAGGGCUAUGAGGAGAAUGAAGAACCUCAGACAAAAUAUUUAUUCUGGGGAGUAAUCGGUGCCCAAGGCAGGCAUUGGGCAGAAAGGGAGAUGUCUGAGAAGGACACCAGCUAUGGAUGUAACCAGCUGAGGGACAACCAGGAAAAGAAGAAAGAUGGCAUCUGCAUGAAAGUGUCUGCUGUUAUCAACUCCAAGCAUGCAGAACAUCUCUCUACACAAACACAAACAAAAGAAAUCACAGCAGUUUUGGAGAAAAGAUUGUUUAAAAUAAUCCUGUUGUUGGGACCCUCUUCAUUUGUUCCUGGCCAAUGAGCCUGUAGGCCUCUUGCAGCUCACAUUUCCUAGCCUGUUAUGGGGUCAAACAUGGUGUGAUAACAGUUAAAUGAGAAAUAAGAGUCAUGACUGUGGGAGCUAAGGCCUGGAGAGGAAAAAACCCAAACAAACCAUAAAGCUGAACAAAAGAAAGUGCCAGCUAUUCCCACGUUCCUGAUAACAUCAUCUGAGGUGGCAACACUGGACUUCAUUAAAAGCCUUGCUGAACUUUAGGGUCAGGCUCAAAAAAACGACAGCUCUUUCCUUUGUGCAUUUGUUCCUGCGUGCCUGGGGGGUGACGUGUGGCUGAUUAUUAUUGCCUGGGUGAUGGCUAUCUGUACGCCGAUCUCAGAUACCAAACAGGCCCUGGGCUAGCCUCGUCUCCGUGUUUCAAAAUCCCAGCAUGGUCUGUGUGGAGGUGGUGGUACACUUACAUUUCCAAUACACUGCAUUUACAUUUACAUUUCCUUACAUAAAGUGGUUCCCACACUGGAGGGAGCAGAUUUUCCAGUAUCCUGCAGGUGUGUUAUUUUUUUUUCUCUCCCCUGCCUUUUGUCACCCACAAUGGCAUGUGAGCAAUGUGAUUUUCUGCUCCUGACAAUGUUGUGCCCUGAUCCACCCCAGAUAUCUGUACCAAGGCAAGAAGAUGGUGCAGGAGGCCUUUUGCAGGCAGUAGUGGCACCAGUUCUGUACUUGCUGUUUGUGAGACAGGUGUACAUCAACAAAAGCAAACUCUCUCUGACUAAAGGGAACCUUUGCCAGACUGUGUAUCUUUCUCAAGCUCCAUGCUAGAAGAAAGAAAGGACCAGGACUGCUGUCACAGAUUUACCUUAACUGAAACAGGCUGUGUUCUCCUGAACAUACACAAGUGUCAGAGGCUCAGCUCUGUCCCUGGUCAUCUGUCAGUCACUUCUUUCUGCUCCUUAUCCCCAGGAGCUCAGGAAUGGGCUGUCACUUUUCAACUGGACUUUGUAGAGGAGUCCCAGAGGGAUUUUUCUUGCAUGAGUUCAGGAGAAUUCAUGCAGUGGAAGGAGAGUCCUUAUAAGAGCCUCUGCUGAGGACUACCUGGAUGGUAUUACACAGUGAAGAAUCCACUGUGGGAGCACACUGAUAAAACACCCUCUGUCCAGAGGAAAAACUUUGAUUAAACCUCUAGCUGACUGUGAAAAACUGAUCUGUAGGAAACCUAUUUUUUACAUGAACCAUAAAGCUACUUGUAUUUAUUUAUUUGACUGAUUGUUUUAGUUGAUAAAUUAGCUUUUCUCAAUUCCUAGUUGUCAUUAAACUUUUUUUAUCUGGAGGGCAUCGACAUAAAUAAUAGCAGCACCCAUUAAGCCUGUUCCUGAUCAGCCUGGCCGGACUCUGCAACAAUAGGGCAGGUGCAGCUGGGAAGGAAAACACCUCUGCCCAAAGGCUGCAGCAAGGUGAGGAGCUACGGGGAGAGUGGGGAAGUCAUCAGAGUGUACUGGGCAGGAAAGCAUUGCCUGCAAGGCUGUCAUUGCCCCUCAGGACCAGGACAAGAAGGGUUUAGAGAGGGGUGCCUGGAGAGAAGGCUGAAUAACAGCCAAGUUAACCCUUCACAUGCUGGCAUUUUCCAGGCGGUGAGCCAAAUGACUGCUCAGGAAGAUGUAUAUAACACAUGUCUGCAGUCUCCAAAGGGUUAUUAACUGUGCAAUAAUGGCCAUGAAACUUGGCUUCCUUGAAAUACAUUUAAAAUUGCAAAAAAAAAAAAAACAAAAAAAAAAGAACAUUGGCUUUAGAGGGGGACAGGGUUUUUUCCUAGAAACUGUGGGGCCAAAUGUACUCCCUGAUAUUGAAAGGAGGUGGAUUCCCCCACAAAAAGGGCUGGGGACAGAGAAUAAAUGUAGCCAUUUCAACAGGACUCCAGCUGCCUCCCACCAUAUGCAUUAUUGUUAUCAAUAACAAUUUCAAGACAUUUCUGAAAAGCCCAUGGUGUUAAAUUAAUAAAGAAGGUCCGUAUCUCAGUGGGGCUUUGGGAUUUGAAUUCAAUAAAACCACUGCUGCUCCUGAGACAAUUUCCUCUUUUGUUGGAUGGGUACCUUUGCAGGGAUUUGUCCCUCUCUCCUGGUUCCAGCCUUUGCCAACACCAAGGCCUGCCCGUGCUAUUACACCUGUUGCAGCCCCAUGGGCCCCUGCCCAGAGGCUCUGCAUCUUUGUGAUGCUCUGAAGACCAGUUCUACACCAGCGUGGUCUGUGCUGGCCAGCUCAGCCACUGAGUCCUUCCAUGCAGUAUGUUACAGACUUCUUUUUAUUAGUGACCCUCUUCCCCCACACUAUUAAAUUAAUUCUUUCUCUGCAUUAUUAUUUUGGCAGAGGCAUUUGGAAGGUGGGAGAAAGAAUCUACCAAAUGUUUAAGCAAAUCUGCGACCCCCCACUCAAACCUUUUUGAGGGAAAAGACAUGGCACUGACUUCGGUCCCUUAGCAAAUGAAGACAGCUGGUGGUCUGCAUUUAAACGUGGCUGUUCGGCGCUCAGGCCAGGUUUGGCAGCUCACAAAUCAGAUUGCCUCUUGGUUCUCAGGAGUGGAGAACUGCCACAAGUGGAAGAGCUGAGGGGAAGUUGCUGCCCAUAACUGCUGUGCCAGCAUGGGCUCUAGGCUUGCGGGGAGGCACUGAAGUUGUUGGUUCAGGAGAGAAAUUCAGUUUCUGAGGCUUUAAUGUUAUGUUACAUUAUUGGCAUAUGGCAAGGUGGUCCCAAAUGGUAUUUUUCUCUCAUAUGGAUGGGUUGUGAGCCAGUCCUUUUGCUUUGGUAAUUUAUUUCAUGCUAGAGCAUAGACUGUGUCUUAAAAGAGGCAGGAAAACACAGAGCUAUUAAAUCUCACCUGGUCUCAUGUUAAGAAAGUGAACUGAAGAGUGGGUCCUGGCUUUGCUCAGAUUUUGUCUGCUGGGAACUGGCUGCAGAUACUCAGUUUCACUCUUACUGCUGACCACAGGCAAUGUCCUCCCAGUGCUGCUGCGCUGGCAAGAUGAGUUUUCUUAUGAUUCCUUUUGCCUGGGACUGCCAGAAUGCC
ensembl:lncRNA